rnacentral:tRNA from 1 species
AUUUAUAUAGUUUAAAAAAAACAUUAUAUUUUCAAUAUAAAAAUAAAAUAAAAUUUUAUAAAUU